CCCUCCCCCCGCCACCAAGUUUUGGCAAGUCCAGCCCAACUGACAGACUUUCUGUCACACUUCCCUACAGCUACUUAAACCACACUUUACUGUGUAAUGGAAUACCUUCCAUUUGGGGAAAAGGAUGGGGCUCCCCCAGGCGGGACUCAACAUGAUGACAGUUCCUAAGGUUCACAGACCUCUGCUGGUCCCCAGACACCCCUCUCUUUGCGAGUAAGACAGUGAUGCUCAAACCACCACCCAGGUUCUCUUGCUUAUUUCAAAUAAGUCAGCUGCCAUGUUGUUUGCUGCCCUGUGGAGAGUCUCACACAGCAAGGAACUGAGGGAAGCUACCAGCCAACAGCCAGUGAGAAACUAAAGUCUUCAGUCCUCAGUCCCAUAGCCCAUAGCCCAUAAGGAAUUGACUUCUAUGAACAACCAUGUAAAUGAACUUGGAAGCAGAUCCCUCCCCAGUCAAGCCUUCCAAUGAGAUUGCAGCCCCAGAUGAUACCUUGAUUGCAACCAUGUGAGAGGAAAGCACACUAGAAGAUGGUUGGAUGAAUGUAUGAUGGGCAAAUUCAUAGUGUCUACCACACCUUCCAUGAAGGUGGCUUGGAUGGAACUCCAUCCUCCCUCCCAGAAAUUCCACGGGCUCAACCCAGCUAGUCCAUCCCCAUGAUCCCUUUUCAUCUAGGCCCAGCCUAACUGUGUCAGGGAAGAAGGACCCUCCCUAUCCCACCCACUGUAAAAAGUGUCUUAUUUUAGUCAAACAUGGCUUUGCUGUCUGGGUAGAAGCAUUGUUCAGGAAUUCUCACUCUGCCUGUCCCUGAAAUGCCAAGGUCAAGCUGGUAGGCUUGAGAUCAUUGUUACAUAUGUCCCCAACUAUUCUUACCAAAAUUUUUGCCUUCAUACCGUAGGUCCUAAUUAGAAGGGCCUCAAAAGAGCUCCCAAACAGAGGGGACUUGGCUUAUUGUCACUCAGAGAAUCCCCCUCAAUGUCAAUCCACCCUGGAGAAUCUCAGUUGUUGGUCCUCUCCAGGUCUGUCCUCCUAGUAUCCUACUGAUGGUAUGAUGUGGGGAGGGCAGUGUCUUUGAAAUAGAAAUAGGAUAUUUCAAUUAGUAUUUCUAUUACCCUAAGAUGUCCUUGAUCUCUGUGGAUGAAAGAAGGAGCUCAGUAAUAACUGUUUCUUACCCACCACUUCUGACUCAGCCCUGAGACUGAGAGUUGGUUAUAACUCAGAGCACGGCCUCCGGAGCUUAUAGUAUCAUGGGAGAAGACAAAGAAAUAAGCACUCACACAACCUCAUGGUGAGUGUGCUGAGAGAAUAAUACCCAGGGUUUUUGGGGAACUGGGGAGAAAGCCCAAUUCUUUCCCAAGGGCAGGGGAGGCUUUGGAGAGGGUAAGAAAGUGUUGGGUCCCCUGAAAGAAGAGAAGACAUUCCAGACAGAGGAAAUGACAUGCACAUGGUCACUUAGGUGUGAGAGAGUGUGGUGCACUCGGGGAACCACAUGCUAUUUGGUAGAGAUGGCACUCCAGUGAGGGAGGGAGACAGGAACCGCUGAAGGACUUUUAUUUUAACUGGCAUGGAAAGAGGUCCAAGAUGGGUUAUCAAAUGAAUAAAGCAACUCACGUGAGAGUG